CUGAAACAUCUUAGUAUUAAAAUAAGAAUCUUAUGAUAGUAUUGGCGAAUGAAAUCAUAAGUAAGAAUUUUUUUUAAUGGUUCGACAUUUGUAAAUAUACUGUUUUACCUAUAAUAAUAGUACUGUGAAGGAAAUAAAAAUAUGAUCGUAAAAUAACAAUGAUAAUCAUUUACCUUUUGUAUAAUGGGUUUACAAGAAAAAAUAUUAGCAAGCUACAAGGCUAAAGAAAUUAAAAAGUUAAUAUUACCCGAAACCAAGCGAUCUAAUUGUGAACAACUUUAUGAGUCAACUAAUAAAUGUAGAAAAAUUUUUAGAAGAUUUGCAAUUAGCAGCGAAAAACUAAUCGAGCUUGGAUAUAGCUGGUUCUCUACGAAAAUUAUAUUAGUAAUAAUAACAUAUUAGUUAUUAAGACAAUUAAUUAAAACAUUAAUUGUCAAAAAGAAAAAAAUCUUAAUCAAAAAUUAACAAACAAAAACUAUUUAUAAAAAAGAAAUUAAUUAUUAACACAAUAAAAAAGUGGGCUUAGAAACUGCCAAAUUUUAUAGAGUACGUAAUAGUUUAUUUAAUAAAAAAUUUGAUUUCUUUAAUUAAGUUAAACAAGAAUAUGAAAAUUUUGAAGAAAGUAGUAGAGUAUUUUAUAAUAUAUAAUGAAAAUAAUAAAAGAAAUAAUGUAAACAUGAAUAUUAAUAAAUUUAUUCCUAAAUUUUCUUAUAUUACCAAUGAAUAAGGUAAUACGGAGUCUCAAUAAAAAAGGACUAGUAAUAUUAAUACCCAAGAAAAAAUAUUAUGAUAAACCGUAAAAUCUCAAUCAAGAAGGAAUAAAAAAUUAAAAAGUUUUCUUUAAGAAACUCGGCAAAAUAGAAUAUCGACUGUUUACCAAAAACAUAGCCCUAGAUAAUUUCUAAGGUGUAACCUGCCCAGUGAUCUUAAAUUAUUAGUAUAAAAGACUAAAAAUGGGAUUAAAAGGACGCGGUAACCUUGACCGUGAUAAUGUAGCAUAAUCACUCGCCAUUUAAUUGGUGGAUAGUAUGAAUGGUUGAACGAAUAUUCCACUGUCUUAAAGAGAAUUAAAAGAAAUUGAAAUAAUAGUUAAGAUGCUAUUUAAAACUGUAAGACGAAAAGACCCUAUAGAGCUUAACUAUAAUCUCUUUACAAAACAGAAAAAAUAAGUUUAAAAAAUAAGGAGAUUGGUAGUUUAGUUGGGGCGACUGUCUUCUAGAUAAAACGAAGACAAGCAAUGUUAAUAAAUAACUUAUUGUAUAAUAUAAUAAUUUAACAAUUAUAAUUAUAGGCUAUAGUGACCCGUUAAUUCUGAAGAAAUAGAUUAACGAUCAAUUGAUAAAAGCUACCUUAGGGAUAACAGGAUAAUUUCAUUUUAGAGUCCCCAUCGAAAAUGAAGUUUGUCACCUCUAUGUUGAAUUAAGAUAUCCUGGUAAUGCAGAAGUUACCAAAGGUAGGUCUGUUCGACCUUUAAAAUCUUACAUGAUUUGAGUUCAUUCCGUCGCAAGACAGGAAGGUUUCUAUCUACAGUUAUAAAACUAAAGAGUCCUUAGUACGAAAGGAAUAGGAUAAUCGAAAAUCCAUUAAUAAUAUUUAAAUGAAAAUAUUGAAAGCCUCUAAACAUUAGAAUGAGUUUUUAACUCUCCACCAGCAU
rnacentral:rRNA from 1 species